AUUCGUAUUUAUUAUAGAAAUAAAAAUGAAAUUUGUUUUCCUCAUUAUUUCUUUAGGCGUUGUCUGCGAAGCUUUUUCAGCCUCCCAUCGUCAUCAUUUUAAAAAAGAUCACCAUCAACUUCGUGACGGUGACCCCACAUCGACUGAAAUUUCUUCUGAUUCUCCCACUGAAACUACAACUCCAAAAAUUUCUACACCUAACUUUCGGCACGGACCCGCUCUUAUAUGCCAUUGUGGAGUUUUUUUGUCCACUUUUACCUGUUUCAAUUAAAACAACUGAAACGACUGAAACAACAACUGAAGCAAGUGAUACGAUUCCAACAGAAACUUCUCAGAAUAAACGACAUAUAUUUCAUAAUAAGAAGAUUUUUAAUGCUCCUAAUAAAAAACAUCACGCUGUUAGAUAUAGUAAAGGUAUUCCACAUUCUUGUUUUUGCCUUCGGUGUCUUAUAUCAACUACAACAGAACAACCAGAUGUAUCAACAAUUUCACAAGAACCAACAGUGGUAACUUCUGGACCAACUUACUCAAUCAACAAUAGAGAUGACACCACUGUACACAUAUUAUAUAUCAUCAAAAGAACCUUCACCAUUUUAGCAUAUGCCACAUGAUUCUAAAGAAUUUUAAAAACUUUAACAAUGAAACAUCGUUAAGGUGUUCAUUGAAAGAAAAAUUAAGCGAUUACAGCGAUUAAAAAAAUAUCAUAUAGUGGAGGACAUGAAUUGCCCAUAUUAAUUAAAAAUCGUCAACAAAUAAGUUGAUCAUAAAAUCUGACCAUGAUCUCUUGUAACA